rnacentral:rRNA from 1 species
UACGUAGGGGGCAAGCGUUGUCCGGAAUUAUUGGGCGUAAAGAGCGCGUAGGCGGUCCGAUAAGUCGGCUGUGAAAGUCAGGGGCUCAACCCUUGAAAGCCGGCCGAUACUGUCGGACUAGAGUCCGGAAGAGGCGAGUGGAAUUCCCGGUGUAGCGGUGAAAUGCGCAGAUAUCGGGAGGAACACCGGUGGCGAAGGCGACGUCCUGGACCGGCAUUGACGCUGAGGCGCGAAAGCCAGGGGAGCAAACGGG